rnacentral:ncRNA from 1 species
AGGACGCUUUCAAAGGCGAAAGGCCAUGGGGAGAUAUCGUCUGUGAUUCAUGGAUCUUCGAUCAAGAAACCGUAUCCAAGCUCCGAGGCUAGUCUACACUUUUUGGACUUUUGAAACUUAGUGAAUUGAAAUAUCUGAGUAGCUAAAGGAAGGGAAAUCAAUCGAGAGCUCGUUAGUAGUAGCGAGCGAAAACGGC